UGUUACCGAUAAAAUUUGUUCUCAUGAUCAAACUCAAGAAACUCUAAGUACAGAUGAUUUGUUUAAAGUUAUAUGUAUUUUACUGUUGUAUUUACUUGAAGCUUUCUUAGAUUUUGAAACGAAGUAAACACGUAAUGUGUGUUGCUAAUGUUGGGCCAUGUAAUAUGUAAUACAUUUACGUUUUAAUGAAUAGUCUAACGAUUUAUAGUCGUUGUACUCUAUUGUUAUAAUAUGUCUUUUUGACUGAAUACAUGUUUGUUUUAUUUGUCUAUAUCUUAGAUUCGCAGCUGGACACAUCCUUCUACACUGUAUGCAAACAUGCAACAUCAUAACACACAGUACAAGGAGUCAGACUGGCAUAUGAGGAGCAAAGGAACCCAGGCAGUAGCAUCGUUUCACAAUGUUUCCAUCACCAUCAUCAGUGGAUGCCUCUGCUGUCCGUAGCCUGAGAUUUCAGAUUUGCAGCAAAAAAAAAUUGAUUUUCUCAUUUAUUGGAAUGCUGUGCAGGUUGUACCUUGCAGCCAUCCAUUACAAUGUCACCAAGCCGUAACAAAAGCAGGAGAGGGAAAGUACAAGGCUAUGUUCCCAAAACACACGAGUGACAUACCUUAUGUGGAUGAUGUGAUCAGGCUUGUGUUUGAUGAGGUAUUUGAAGAUAAGCUGAAGGAAACCCCAAUUCCAAUGGACCUGGCAUCACAGUUUGAGAGACCUUCAAAGGAGGACGUGAUUGCAUGCCAUCAUCAGUGCAUGGGUCGUCGAAAGCCAAAAUUGUGACCGAUCUGAUCAGGAAGCUCCAAGCAUAUCUGGAGAACAACACACGACAGGAUGAUAACCUUAUAGUGUCGUCUUAAAUAGCACCAGCUGACAAAGCUUUGAUAUGCCAUUUAUCUGAAUAGAUAGCUGUAAGAAAUGAAUUGAACAAUUUUUGAAAC